rnacentral:tRNA from 1 species
GCCGAGGUAGCUCAGAUGGUAGAGCGGCGGACUGAAAAUCCGCGCGUGGGCGGAUCGAUACCGCCCCUCGGCA